rnacentral:misc_RNA from 1 species
AACAAGGCGUACCUGCGGACCUGCGGAGGGAUCAUUACCAGAGUGCCUUCAGGCUCUCCAACCCACUGUGAACAUACCUACGUUCCCCCGGCGGGCUCAGCGCGCGGCGGCUCCGGCCGCCCGCGUCCGCCGAGGGCAUCUCAAACCCGAAUUUAUUCGUGUCUUCUGAGGGGCGAAAGCCCGUAAAACAAAAUGAAUCAAAACUUUUAACAACGGAUCU